rnacentral:rRNA from 1 species
GAUACCCGGGUAGUCCUAGCUGUAAACGAUGGAUACUAGAUGUUGCGCGUAUCGAUCCGUGCAGUAUCGUAGCUAACGCGUUAAGUAUCCCGCCUGGGAAGUAUGCUCGCAAGGGUGAAACUCAAAGGAAUUGACGGGGGCCCGCACAAGCGGUGGAGCAUGUGGUUUAAUUCGAUGCAACACGAAGAACCUUACCAGAACUUGACAUGCCAUGAAUCUUUAUGAAAGUAGAGAGUGCCUUAGGGAACAUGGACACAGGUGGUGCAUGGCCGCCGUCAG